rnacentral:rRNA from 1 species
GGCUAUGGCCGUGGUGCGUUGAUACACCCAAUGCAUUGAUCUUGGAAGUUAAGCAACGUGUGGUACUUGGAUGGGAGACCACCAAGGAAGACUUGGAUGCUGUAGCCG